CUUCCAGGAUCCAUUUUGGCCUGAUCUCCAGUAACCAGAUGUUGUUGACUGUCAUCGACGAGCUGCGGACGAACACUCUCUCAAAAGUUCGGGAAAUCAGAGACAUGAUGGGCUUCAACAGCGCCGCCCUGCAGUUCCUCCAGAGGGAGAUCGAGAGCAAAGAGGACGUCAUGUUCUUCGCGGAUGCCACAGGGCAGCUGAAGGAGAAGAAGAAGAAGAGGAGGAAGAGGGAGAGAGCCAUCCUCACCAUCGCUUGAAUCCUAAUGGACAUUCUUUAGUUUGUGUAUCCGCUCCCGUCUCCCCCCUGCUGUUUCCCAGGCCCGGACCAGUUUACUCUGUGGUUUUUGUUAUGAAUGGAUGUUGCUCUGUGGUUUUCACUGACAUGCUUCAUCUCCCAAAUAAACUGUGUCUGAAUUUUUCUCACGGUA